CCUACUGAAGCUAAUCCUAUACAUGGACUAUGACUUAACCAUUCCACUCAGGGGUAUGAAGUCAAAAUAAAUGAAAAUACAGAUUCAUCCGCGGACAUGGACAAAAAUGCUCAUAGAAGCUUUACUCGUGACAGCCCCCGUCUGGAAAGAAGCCACGCGUUGAGAAACUGUUACGCGCAUGCAGUGGCAUAGUACUCAGCAAUGAAAAAGAACGACGGACACACCCAACAACAGGCUCCCGACACAAGCUGGAGCGAAAGAAGCAAGACACGCGCAUAGUUGUAUGAAGCUCAAAGGCGGGCAACCCUGUGGCCACAGAAGUCAGCUUGGGUGACAUGUGCUGCAGUGGAGGUCACACGAGGCAUCAUGGGAGCCCCCAGAAGGCAAAUGAGAGCCUCAUGGACCAGAAGAACAACGUCCCUGGGCGUGACACCAGUGGAACCGGACAGAGUGACAGAGGAGAAGAGAGGGGAGGGCUGGUGUGAGCUCAGGGAACUCUGGGGGACUCCACCUGGCAGAGGGGUGCAGAUGGAGAGAUGUGAGGCUCAGGAGAGGGACGGGGCCACACCCCCGGGGGCCCCAAUACAGGCUGAGGGCCUCGAGCUCUGUCCCCAGGGCUCUGGGAGCCACAGGAGGGCUGUGUGCAGGAGAGGGGCCGGGUCACCUCUGGGGACAGAAAGACCCUCGGGACCCGUGGGGGAUGGGCCGGGGUGGGCGGGGCCCUGGAGGCUGGGAGGCCAGGGAAGAGGCUGUGGGAAGAGGACGGGGCCUAAGGUGGGGCGCGGGGACGCAGAUCCCUGGAUCAGAUUCCUCCGGGGGCCGCUCACCCUUCCACUCCAGGUUGCUGCGGCCGGUCUCCAGGUGGCCCAGCAGCCGCUGGGGGCAGGAGGUCAGCAGGAAGUGCCCCUCCUGCCACACGGCGUCCUCGUGCUGCUUCCACUUCUGACUGAUGGCCCGCGCCUCGG